rnacentral:piRNA from 1 species
UAACUGGGUGGUACUACUGCUGCUUCUUAU